rnacentral:snRNA from 1 species
AUACUUACCUGGCAGGGGAAAUACCAUGAUCAAGAAGGUGGUUUUCCGGGCGGUGGUGGUGCAUGCCUGUAAUCCCAGCACUCGGGAGGCAGAGGCAGGUGGAUCUCUGU